UUCAUUUUAUUUAGUGUAAUUAAAAACUAUUUCAUGUAAACUAUUUUAAUUUUAAUAAUCUAUGAUAAUACAUAUAUGAAUACAAUUUAUGUAUUUUAUAUUAAAGAAGGCUGUCCUUCGGGCAUCGUCCGAGUUCUUCAGAGUGAUCUUCUCCAGGUAUGGAGUAGCCAUACUUUGUCAUGUAUACUGAUUAUAUUGGAAUGCUUCUUUUCUCUUUCUGCUUAUAUGUUCUGGAAGUCCUAAAUAUCUACCAAAGCUUCAUAUAUCAGUUAUGCCAAACUACUUAGAAAUGCUAUCUUGAAUGUGAGAAGGAAUACCUUUGGUGAAAUGAAAUCACUGAUAUUGUAUAUUUUAUUUCUUGUCCUGAAACUCUUUGGUAGAUGUUGAGAAGGUGAGAAAGGCUAUGUUCCUCUUCUUAUGUUGCCUAAUUAAAAACUAAGGAGUCAUUAAUGAAAAGUAAAUGAGACAUAGCAGAACACUAAUACACGAAGUCAUUCAUGAAAAUGAUAUAAAGUACAAAAUAGUAUGCUUUUAUAGAUACCAUGCCUAUUCAAAUUAAUUAGGGAAAAUAUAAUUUGAAAGAUAAGUAACAUCGAUAAUUAUGUCGUUAUAACACCUUUAUAUAAUAGAAUUUGAUCUGAAAACCUCUAGUAAACUAUAUCAAUCAUACUUAACAUGCAUGUCUAUCUUUUUAAAAUUUGCGUUUUGUACAAUUAAUAAUAUUCCAAAAAGAAGUUAUAGUUGGCCUUACCAGUAUUCAGAAAAUGAAAUCGAUGAAAAUAAAGACAUAUUAGAAUUAAAUUUUUACUACCAAAUUCAAAUUUUAUUUCAAAUGUAUAAAAAUGAAAUAAAAAUUUCAGAAACCCAUAGCGUCUAGGAAACUCAUAGAUGUUUUUAUUUAUUUAUUUCAGUCUUUUUAAUCUAUGAGUUCUUAAACCCUAAAACUGAUUAUUAAAGAAUGAUUUGUGUUAGAACCGCUGUUGCAUUAUUACAAUCGAUGAAAGUUACAAUAUAUUUGUAACGACCGUAACCCGCUCUAUUGGUCUAAUUGAAUUAUUCCUUUAGACUAAACCAGAUGGUUUGGUUUUCUUCUAAUUAUUUAAUUAUUGUUAAUCCCGUACUCCACCCAUUUGCCCUAACCUAUACGUGUGUGUGUUAUCAUACCUAGUAUAUAUAUAUAAGUAAGCAUGAGCCGCCAUUGCACCUCUUUUUUUAUCAAUCCUCCAUCUCCACACACGUGCUCUCCCUUCCGCCAUCGCUCAUGUCCGUUCUUCACCACCGGAGUAGUAGCCAUGCCACCACACGCUUCGUUCUGUGCCGCCGCGUCCAUGAUGGUGACGUUAUGUAUCGGAUCCGUUAGAUGGUGAACAUGACCGACAUGAGGAGAUAACUUGAAGGCGGAGCCACCAUCUCAUCACCACCGUCAACCACUGAUUCGCGCCGGCAUGAGCCACAAGCCACCACCUGAGAGCCAUGUCCUCGUCAAUGGAGUUAUCGCAAGCCAUCAUUGUUGAGAUCCGAGCAAGUGAGAUCAUGGUCUCACACUUUCUUGUGUAGCAAGCUUAUUCUCCUCCACCUUUGAUUGAUCUCUAGUCAUCAGCUCCGGUCUGUUCUUCCCGUUGAUGUCGUCAUAGCCAUGUCAUCAAUGCCAUCAAGCGCUUCAUGUUUGUGUCCGUUUCAUCUCGUGUUGCAAAUCGUAUAUAUGAUGAUGUGAUGUACGUAAUACCAUGUGACGUUCACGUUACGUAAAGAUCUCAACACGUGCUCUUUGGUCAAGCUAAACCAAGGUUAGGGUUGUCUACCUAAAUACUUGAUUCUUACGUCAAGUUCUAUAAAGUAUAGACCAUAAUCUAAUCACCUUUUUUUUUCCUUUGUAUAAUAAUGUUUUAUGUUCCAAUUGGCCGGAGGUGCCACUUUCUCAAGCCAAGGCGAAAGGUAUUAUUAUAUUAAGACGUUUCCUUGUUCCACAAGUCAACCUGUUUUGCUUCUUGGUUGAUUUCUUUAUCUCUAAGCUUGGCUAAGGUGAGACAGAUGAGUAUAUGAUAUUUGGACGGAUUGGUGCUACUGGACUUUUUAUUCGGAUUUUUAUUUGGGCUUUGGGAGAGUGUAAUUGGGUAUAUGGGCUUUUAUUGUACGAGAUAUUGUUGGUGGCCGCUGUUCUCCGGAUUGGAGGUGACGGGAGUCACAAUUUGGUAUCAGAGCGGGGUUCCGUCCCGGCCUCGACCCGGGAUGGCGAUUAGGGGAUUCGAUUUUAUACUUUUUAUUUUUAAAGUAUAAACUAAUUUAUAUAUAUAUAUAUAAAAAAAAAAAAUGUUUGCGAAGUUCUUUUAGCACCAUUCGGUCCAGUAAUUACUAACUCAAUUGUCUCUUUCUAUGACGAUGAGUAAAAUCAUCGUCAUUCAUCCUUCGACUAACAGGGUUCUACACAGAUGUUCAACUGCAGAUGUGUGAUGUCUCAGUUCGUCAAUUGUCUCAGGAGUGUUAUCAGUUCCUUUGGUCAUGAUUCUGAGAUUAUCCAGGAGUGGAUAUGUGACGUUUUUGCUUCUACCCUACUUCAAGCAAUCGUUCCACGAGUUUUGUCACAGGAGGUUAUGUGGUAUGAGGUGUGAGCCAUUGGUUGGCAUGUAUUGUUUUUGUGUACGAGUAUGUUGACUAUUUUGGAGGUAUGUUCGGUUUAUAAACUCGUGGGGAUCGCUUUUGGAUUGGGAGUGCGGCAGCUUGCAUUGUAAGGAUAUUGGAGUUAUGCUUGAUUUUGUUUCCGAGUUUUUGGCAUUGUUGUUCAUUUCAAAGACGUGUUAGUUCAAACAGCUGACAUGGGAUGUGGGAGCUAUUUAUAUUCAUCGUAGUGUACCGGUUAUGCUCGUGGGAUUGAUUUAUUCGGAGAUUCGUCAGAGAUGGAGCUGAGUUUAUGCGAUGUCAUUCUUGAGAAUGAUUGGCUGUCAUGACAUCAAGUAGUGUUGUUUUGCCUGAGGGCAAUAGUUCUUAUUCCUAGAUCCGAUGAGAGUUUGUAUUGUCUACAUGCUACAUGCUGAGGAGUUAUUGGAUAUAAGAGCAGAUGGAUUUUCGGCGAACAUUUUGAUGGCUAAGGAUGAUAGACAGUAUGAGCUGCAGGAUCAUUCAGAUAUUACAAAGUAUGUGGAUGUAUUUGAGGCCUUUGGAAGGGCUAUCACCAGCAAGAGGAGUCGUUCUUACGAUCGGGGUUGAGUCAGGGACAUCACCAGUUUCACGAUCUCUAUAUCGAUUAGCGGCAGCAAAGAUGACCGAGCUGAAAGAGCAGAUGGAAGACUUAUCGGAUAAGGAUUUUAUCAGACUGAGUAUUUCACUAUGGGGACCACCAGUGUUGUUGCGAUAGAGAAGGAUGGGAUUUCAGAAUUUUUAUUGACUGCAGAGGUUUGAACAAGUGACCAUUAAAGAUAAGUAUUGAUGAUUUGUUGUAUUAGUUGCAUGGAGGUUCAUGGUUCUUGAAGAUUGACUUGGCAUCAGUAUACCAUCAGAUUGCUAUAGCUGAGGAGUAUUUACGGAUGUGGAUUUUGUAUAUGUUAUGGAUAUUAUGAGUUGUAAUGAUACCACUUAGCUCAACGAAGGCACCGUUAGCAUUCGUGAAGCUUAUGAAUGACGUUUUUGUAAACACUUGGAUAAGUGCGCAAUUGUAUUCAUCGACGACAUCCUGAUUUAUUCUUGGAGCAGAGAGGAGCAUGUUGAGCAGUCAUGGAUUGUGUUAGGUAAGCUUGAAGAGCAUAAAUUGGUUGCUAGCGGAGUAGGUGUAGUUUCUGGAAAAAAAAAUUGGAUUUUUGGGUCACGUGUUUCAGAGCAGAAGUUGCUGCAUAUUCAGAAAAGAUUAUUAUAAGUUCAGAGUGGCCGACACGUAAGAGGUACAUAUAUAUGAAGUGUUACUAUCAUUGGCCUAGAGUGAAAAAAAAAAAAAAAAAAAAGAUGUAGCUACAUUGUAUCUCCAUGUCAGACUUGUCAGAUGGUUAAAACAGUACAUCAGCUAUUUAAGGGAUUUUUACACAAUUUACUUUUUCCAGAUUGGAAAUGAGAUAUGUUGAUUAUGGGUUUACUUAUUGGACUACCGGAGUCAAGUUUCAUGAAGAAUAAUAUAUGAGCAAUCAUGGACCGUAUCGCUAAGCUAAAAUCUAGAGGACAUGUCCAGGACUUGUGCUUAGCUCGCGAGGAAAAAACAAAAAUUCAGGAAAGUAUCUACCAUUGAAAUAGAUCAUGUAUAGUAACAGUUAUUACUCGAGCAUUCAGAUAUCACCUUAUGAAGCCUCUUUAUGGAAGAUCAUUCGCACACAUGCUAUGAUAGACCAAAGUGGGAAAGCCCUCUAAUGUAUAGCAACCAAUGGUUUAAGGGACGUUGAAGCAAAUAGAAAUGCUCAAGAACAACCUUAAAAAAAAAUGUUUACACCUAUUCAGCCAGUUGAAAUUUUUGAUCGGCAAGUGAAAGUGGUACAGGGAAUUAUGACUAUGUUGAUCACUGUUUGUUAGGACAGAGAGACGAAUCCAGGAGAAGAUCCGGGAGACCGAGAUCCAAAGAAUACUGACUAUCAUUUUCUUUUAGGAUGUUAUUGGACAGUCGGCUAAAGAUUUGAAUUCGAGGACGAAUUCCGAUUAAGUGGGGAAGAAUUGUAACGACCGUAACCCGCUCUAUUGGUCUAAUUGAAUUAUUCCUUUAGACUAAACCAGAUGGUUUGGUUUUCUUCUAAUUAUUUAAUUAUUGUUAAUCCCGUACUCCACCCAUUUGCCCUAACCUAUACGUGUGUGUGCUAUCAUACCUAGUAUAUAUAUAUAAGUAAGCAUGAGCCGCCAUUGCACCUCUUUUUUUAUCAAUCCUCCAUCUCCACACACGUGCUCUCCCUUCCGCCAUCGUUCAUGUCCGUUCUUCACCACCGGAGUAGUAGCCAUGCCACCACACGCUUCGUUCUGUGCCGCCGCGUCCAUGAUGGUGACGUUAUGUAUCGGAUCCGUUAGAUGGUGAACAUAACCGACAUGAGGAGAUAACUUGAAGGCGGAGCCACCAUCUCAUCACCACCGUCAACCACUGAUUCGCGCCGGCAUGAGCCACAAGCCACCACCUGAGAGCCAUGUCCUCGUCAAUGGAGUUAUCGCAAGCCAUCAUUGUUGAGAUCCGAGCAAGUGAGAUCAUGGUCUCACACUUUCUUGUGUAGCAAGCUUAUUCUCCUCCACCUUUGAUUGAUCUCUAGUCAUCAGCUCCGGUCUGUUCUUCCCGUUGAUGUCGUCAUAGCCAUGUCAUCAAUGCCAUCAAGCGCUUCAUGUUUGUGUCCGUUUCAUCUCGUGUUGCAAAUCGUAUAUAUGAUGAUGUGAUGUACGUAAUACCAUGUGACGUUCACGUUACGUAAAGAUCUCAACACGUGCUCUUUGGUCAAGCUAAACCAAGGUUAGGGUUGUCUACCUAAAUACUUGAUUCUUACGUCAAGUUCUAUAAAGUAUAGACCAUAAUCUAAUCACCUUUUUUUUUCCUUUGUAUAAUAAUGUUUUAUGUUCCAAUUGGCCGGAGGUGCCACUUUCUCAAGCCAAGGCUAAAGGCAUUAUUAUAUUAAGACGUUUCCUUGUUCCACAAGUCAACCUGUUUUGCUUCUUGGUUGAUUUCUUUAUCUCUAAGCUUGGCUAAGGUGAGACAGAUGAGUAUAUGAUAUUUGGACGGAUUGGUGCUACUGGACUUUUUAUUCGGAUUUUUAUUUGGGCUUUGGAGCGGUACUGGAAGGAAUAAACUGUUUUCAACAAACUGGCUGCUGUGCUCUUCCUUCUGAGCCAUGAUUGGCUUGAAUGAAUUGUAGAUCAAUGCUAUCCAAGGAUGACAUGGAUGAAAAGAAUUGUGGUAUGCAGCCUAACCUGACAUAACGAUCUAUUCUGAAACCGCUUAUAGAAAAAGGAUAGUAAAUUGAAAUUGCAAUUAUAAUGAAAAUGAUUUUAAAUAUUUUAAAGUGAAACUCUACUACCAGUGUAUUGAUGUUUUUUUGCGUAGAAACAUAUUUGAAUCAGAAGAUGCAUCUUCAUA